rnacentral:rRNA from 1 species
UACGGGGGGGGCAAGCGUUGUUCGGAAUUACUGGGCGUAAAGGGCUCGUAGGCGGCCAACUAAGUCAGACGUGAAAUCCCCAGGCUUAACCUGGGAACUGCGUCUGAUACUGGAUGGCUUGAGAUUGGGAGAGGGAUGCGGAAUUCCAGGUGUAGCGGUGAAAUGCGUAGAUAUCUGGAGGAACACCGGUGGCGAAGGCGACAUCCUGGACAAACACUGACGCUGAGGAGCGAAAGCCAGGGGAGCAAACGGG